GAAACUACCAGCUCCUUGCAGAAAGACUGAAACAUGAUGGGCAGAGAAGGGUGUUGGUGUCGACGUUUGAGGAUGCAGUCAAGUCAAUGGAGUUCUGUUGUAGUGGUUGCUUCAGUGAACAUUCAACGCUGUCGGCCUUAACACCGAAGAUAGCAACCUAACCAUCAUAUGAUGUUUCUCCCUCACCCUGCCAAGCUUUAAAAAAAGGUCACAAUCAACAUUCAUUGCUGUCGGUGGGUUUAACUAUGUGGACAAGCUCACUGAACAAUGAAUGCAACUGUGGCCUCACAUUGUACAGUUGCCAUUGAGAGGAGUAGCGGCUCUGAAGGCAAUAGUGAGAAGCAAACACUUCUUUUAAGCUACAGUUUUCUGGUCAGAAAAAUAGUUGGGGGUAUCCAGUUUUUGCUUGUUUGGUUUUGAGUGUGUUUAACUUAGCUGACUGGAAAAGAAAACCCACUGCGUUUUUCUUGGGUAUUGUCCUCACAGGGUUCAGUGCCACUGAAAAUGUGAAAGUUCUUAUUUAGUAUGUGUGCAGAAAAAAUAACAGGAUAGGACACUCAGUAUAUCCACUCCUAAGGCCUCUAACAUAAGAGGAAAGAAUAUUUAGUUGUCAUUUAACUAGGCAUUGUUGAAGAGUUCAAAAGUUUAUUCUAUACUUGUCAUGACAUAUACAGCUGGGAACAAAUGGGAUUUAAGAGUUAUGGAUAAAAAUGUUAUGUCAAAAAAUAUUAAUUAAUUUUACAUUAAACUGAUUUUAAGAACACAAAUACUAUUGCAUUUGCUAUUUUUAGGGAUCUGAAAGAUGACAGAGAAAUGUAUAUCCAGAAAUAAUAAUGGAAAAGCAGUUAAAUUGUAAAGUUGUUGAAUUGUAAACCGAGUACCUAUGUCACGCUCUGAGUUUUGCAAUAAGAAAAUAAAAUGUGAAUACGCUCA